GACGAACGCUGGUGGCGUGCUUAACACAUGCAAGUCGAACGGAAAGGCCCUGCUUUUGUGGGGUGCUCGAGUGGCGAACGGGUGAGUAACACGUGAGUAACCUGCCCUUGACUUUGGGAUAACUUCAGGAAACUGGGGCUAAUACCGGAUAGGAGCUCCUGCUGCAUGGUGGGGGUUGGAAAGUUUCGGCGGUUGGGGAUGGACUCGCGGCUUAUCAGCUUGUUGGUGGGGUAGUGGCUUACCAAGGCUUUGACGGGUAGCCGGCCUGAGAGGGUGACCGGCCACAUUGGGACUGAGAUACGGCCCAGACUCCUACGGGAGGCAGCAGUGGGGAAUAUUGCACAAUGGGCGGAAGCCUGAUGCAGCAACGCCGCGUGCGGGAUGACGGCCUUCGGGUUGUAAACCGCUUUCGCCUGUGACGAAGCGUGAGUGACGGUAAUGGGUAAAGAAGCACCGGCUAACUACGUGCCAGCAGCCGCGGUGAUACGUAGGGUGCGAGCGUUGUCCGGAUUUAUUGGGCGUAAAGGGCUCGUAGGUGGUUGAUCGCGUCGGAAGUGUAAUCUUGGGGCUUAACCCUGAGCGUGCUUUCGAUACGGGUUGACUUGAGGAAGGUAGGGGAGAAUGGAACUCCUGGUGGAGCGGUGGAAUGCGCAGAUAUCAGGAGGAACACCAGUGGCGAAGGCGGUUCUCUGGGCCUUUCCUGACGCUGAGGAGCGAAAGCGUGGGGAGCGAACAGGCUUAGAUACCCUGGUAGUCCACGCUGUAAACGGUGGGUACUAGGUGUGGGGUCCAUUCCACGGGUUCCGUGCCGUAGCUAACGCUUUAAGUACCCCGCCUGGGGAGUACGGCCGCAAGGCUAAAACUCAAAGGAAUUGACGGGGCCCCGCACAAGCGGCGGAGCAUGCGGAUUAAUUCGAUGCAACGCGUAGAACCUUACCUGGGUUUGACAUGGAUCGGGAGUGCUCAGAGACGGGUGUGCCUCUUUUGGGGUCGGUUCACAGGUGGUGCAUGGCUGUCGUCAGCUCGUGUCGUGAGAUGUUGGGUUAAGUCCCGCAACGAGCGCAACCCUUGUUCACUGUUGCCAGCACGUUAUGGUGGGGACUCAGUGGAGACCGCCGGGGUCAACUCGGAGGAAGGUGGGGAUGUCGUCAAGUCAUCAUGCCCCUUAUGUCCAGGGCUUCACGCAUGCUACAAUGGCUGGUACAGAGAGUGGCGAGCCUGUGAGGGUGAGCGAAUCUCGGAAAGCCGGUCUCAGUUCGGAUUGGGGUCUGCAACUCGACCUCAUGAAGUCGGAGUCGCUAGUAAUCGCAGAUCAGCAACGCUGCGGUGAAUACGUUCCCGGG
rnacentral:rRNA from 1 species